rnacentral:rRNA from 1 species
CUNUGGGCCGGUACUGACACUGAGGAGCGAAAGCGUGGGUAGCAAACAGGAUUAGAUAACCCUGGUAGUCCACGCCGUAAACGUUGGGCACUAGGUGUGGGGUCUAUUCAACGGACUCCGUGCCGUCGCUAACGCAUUAAGUGCCCCGCCUGGGGAGUACGGCCGCAAGGCUAAAACUCAAAGGAAUUGACGGGGGCCCGCACAAGCAGCGGAGCAUGUUGCUUAAUUCGAGGCAACGCGAAGAACCUUACCUGGGUUUGACAUGUAGAGAAAAGCCACAGAGAUGUGGUGUCCUUCGGGGUUCUACACAGGUGGUGCAUGGUUGUCGUCAGCUCGUGUCGUGAGAUGUUGGGUUAAGUCCCGCAACGAGCGCAACCCUUGUCCUAUGUUGCCAGCACGUAAUGGUGGGGACUCGUAGGAGACUGCCGGGGUCAACUCGGAGGAAGGUGGGGAUGACGUCAAAUCAUCAUGCCCCUUAUAUCCAGGGCUGCAAACAUGCUACAAUGGCCGGUACAAAGGGCUGCUAAACCGCGAGGUGGAGCGAAUCCCAUAAAGCCGGUCUCAGUUCGGAUUGGAGUCUGCAACUCGACUCCAUGAAGCUGGAGUUGCUAGUAAUCCCGGAUCAGCAACGCCGGGGUGAAUACGUUCCCGGGCCUUGUACACACCGCCCGUCACACCAUGAAAGUUGGAAACGNNCGAAGUCCAUGUGGCCCAACCCUGUNGGGAAGGACUCUGAUCC